CGCGGGGGGGAGCCGCAUGCUAGCUCGUCGGGCUCAUAACCCGAAGGUCGUCGGUUCAAAUCCGGCCCCCGCAACCA
rnacentral:tRNA from 1 species